AGGUUGCUGCUUGCCGUUGGGCUUGUAGGUAGAGGCCUUGCGGUGGUCCAAGAUUCUUACAUAGUGUUGUGCCUGGUUUCUUCUUGAAGGAUUUGUUGUGAAAGCUGGGAAUGUUAAGAGGAAUCUGCUUUGAGAGGUGUCGUAGUCUGAGAGGAAACGAUUUCUUCUAGGCCAGUGGUGUUCCUUUGCGCUAUAGCCAGUGCGCUAUCUCCUAGGUUAUCUCAUAUAAAGCCAUGAACCUAGCAUGAACUCGAAAUAUAAAUUAUUGUAUAUGAAGAUGCUAUCUGAGUAUGUAUUUGCAUGUUCGUAGAUCUACUACAUAUGCUUUAUUAUGUAUAAAUAUGACA